AUCAUGAUACUGUACAAAGUAUGGAUGUGCGAGCGCUGCCGAGGCAGUAAUUCUUUUAUCACUGUCCAAUAUCAGCAUCUUCUCAAGAAGGUCUACGGCUAGUGGAUUGGCACCACGAAACACUGCCUUCAAAUCCUGUUGAGGCAUAUGUGGAAGAGAUUCAAUGUACUUUCUUGCGUGUUCUGAUGAUAUCUUCUUCAGAAGCUCAGAACUGGGUGUACCCACAACCUCCAUUAUUCUCUUCAGUUGAUC
rnacentral:lncRNA from 1 species